rnacentral:rRNA from 1 species
CAUGUGGUUUAAUUCGAUGAUACGCGAGGGACCUUACUUGGGCUCGAAUGGUUAGUGCAACUGUGAGAUAUCACGGGUUCCUUCGGGACGCUAAUCUAGGUGCUGCAUGGUUGUCGUCAGCUCGUGCCGUGAGGUGUUGGGUUAAGUCCCGCUACGAGCGCAACCCCUGGGUUUAGUUACCAGCACGUAGUGGUGGGGACUCUAGACCGACUGCCGGCGUAAGCCGCGAGGAAGGUGGGGAUGACGUCAAAUCAUCAUGGCCUUUAUGUCCAGGGCUACACACGUGCUACAAUGGUCAGUACAGAGGGUAGCGAAGCCGCGAGGUGGAGCCAAUCUUUAAAAGCUGAUCGUAGUUCGGAUUGGAGUCUGCAACUCGACUCCAUGAAGUUGGAAUCGCUAGUAAUCGCGCAUCAGCCAUGGCGCGGUGAAUACGUUCCCGGACAUGUACACACCGCCCGUCAAGCCAUGGGAGCUGAGGGUACCUGAAGAUGGUGACUUUACGGGGAGCUAUCU